CAUACGGCAAAGUGACUGGAGCUCGCACGUCAGCCCGCCUGGCCUGCAGCUCUGCCGCACGCUCAUUCGCCGAGAAAACGCUGCCAGUCAGCCAAUAGAACAGCGUCUCUUUGAAGACGAACAGCUGAUGUCAUUCCAAUCUUUGGGGCGCUGAUUGUGAGGAUGCUGGAGGAGUCUAUCCUGAUCUUCUCUCCGGGCUUAAAAACGGGGAGAGGAGAGACCCCUCGCACGCGCUUUCCACCCAGCUCCUGUGGCUUCAGAGCCCUCGCCAGACAACCUUCGUGGCUGGCAAGCAGCUUUUCUACCGUUGCCUUCUCGUUUUGCGCUCUGCGAAAGAGAGAGCCGCUCGGGGCUGUUCAGAAAGAAGUCCUCGUCCCCACGGACUGGUAGCCCACGGCGCUAUCAACUCAGAGCUCUCUGCGGCAUCCCUCAUUCCCUCCAACCUCUGCUUCCUGUGGCGGUCCUGACAGGAUUGAAUGAAUCUGUGACAUCAGAAGCAGCUUUGUUAGCAUCAACCUAGCUUUCAACAGGAAUUUCAAGCCAGAAAUGAGGAAGAUAUUAUCAUAGAAGCUUCUGUAUAGUCAACAAAUGUCUGACAGGGAGCUAAAAUGCCUGAUAGAUGCCUUUCCAAGGAAGAGAAAUGCUUUAGAGAAUGAGCAAUGAAAACAAUGAAAAUCCUUUGAUGGAAUGCCACUUUAAGUAACCUGAUACACCUACCUACUGCUAAUAUUGAGCAUUCAUUACCCUGUAUUACAUUUAUCAAAGCAAGAAUUGAAAUAAUUAAUGUAGUCAAAGAUUUACUAUUUUAGAACAUAAAUGAAGCUACUAUUGUAGUUAAGUACUUCAGGGUUUAAAGUACUUUUCUAGUCCAGUUUAAAAAUGCAGAUAUACCUGUGCCUAAAAAAUCUUCUCUUGCUACUGAUUUGGAACAGAUUAGUUCAUGUCAUGGUUUCCAGCUUUUCUGGUUUUUGAACUUACUGCUACUUAGCUUGCCUCUACAACUCCAGAUUCGACAAUCGUUCUUUUAAAGCAGCUUUCAUUCACUUAUUAGAUAGAUAUCCCACUUUUUUUGUACAGGGGCUCAAGGAGGCAUAUAUACUUCUCUGUCUUCCUAUUUUUCUCACAACAACCCUGUAAGGUAAGUUGGGCUAAGAGGGACUGGCCCAAAGUCACCCAAAGGGAUUCCUUAUAGCACAACCUCAGCCAGCAUGGAAAUAUAUUUAAUGAUAUUUUCCAAUGAUGCCCUUUUUAAUAUAUUAUUCCCCUCUCUUGAUGCAGAGGUUUGCUCAAAACACAAUUAGGUCAGUUUUUAAAAACGGACACUGCUAUGUGUUUUUCAUAAAAAUUAGUGUCCAGUUAUUUCAACCUCAGGCGUUUUUGUACUGGGUAGUAAACCUAUUUUACUCCACAGUCAUUAUCUCCAGUAACUUCCAGGCAGUGUAAAAGUAAUUUUCAAGGACAGCAUAAUCAAUCUUCAGUGACUUCAAAAGUCUGCUUAAUAUUGGAUGGGAAACCUCCAGGAAACAUCAGGAUUGUAAGCCAGACUGGGAAGUUGGAAAAAAUCAUUCUGGAAGAAAACAAUUGCAAAACAUUUUUGUAUUGCUGCCAAGAAAAAUACAUUAACAUGUCCAUGAAGUCAGCAAGUACUUAUGAGUAUUGCUUUGCCUAUUUGAUGAAAAAAAAGUCUCUCUUUGUGAGUGAUAAAAUGUCUGGAGCAUAUCA